CAAAGCCCAAGGUUCAAUCCUUAGUGCUACAAAGGAGAUAAACAAAAAAGAAGAAAUCUGUCCACUGAGUUUUCUCUCAUGCCUCCCAAUUAUUUGUUUUGAUGUUACAUGUUUUUAUUCUUUUAACGAUUUUUCAUAACUGUAUAUUGGAAUACUGUUUUUCUAAUUGCUUCUCUAAAGGCUUUCUCAGAUCCAUGUCCUGGUAUCCACUGAUCAUCUUUUUCCCAUGUGAACACCUCACUGAGUUGUUCCCUGUUCUUCAUAUAUUAUCCACUCCCUUUAGAUUGUAUCCUGUUCAAACACCAAGGAAGAAGAUGAUUUUUGUGUUGGUGAAGUUCAGGUUGCAGGUGCUGAGAAUCUGUUACAAACAUGCUGAGAGCUGCCAUAGGCAUAUACAGCAGGCGUUCCCGGCUAGCAGCCGACCUGCUGCAGCUGAGCUGCUCAGAACCAUCCACCCAGCCCGGAGACAGUUUCUAGCUGCCUAGAGACAGGGUUUCUCUGUGGCUUUGGAGAAGAAAACAUUUUUUAUACUACCAAACAGUGGGCUGCAUGGUACGUCCAUAAAGACCAGUUGUAUAUUUGGUACCCUUGGAAGCUGGAAGAGGGCACUGGAUCUCCUGGAAUUGGAGUUGUGAUGAUUGUAGCUGCUAUAUGGGUGCUGGGAAUUGAAACUGGGACAUCUGGAAGUGAAGCCAGAGCACUUAACUCUUAAACCACUUCUCCACUCUGAUAAUUAAUUUUAAUUACUAGUUUGCUAAGGCAAUGGUUGAGAAUACUGUUCAGCACACUCUGGAAAAUCAAAGAAUCAUCUGUAUUGAGGAGUUUAAGAUGUUUAUUUGUUCUUAUGUGCAUUUAUCUAUAUGUGUUACAUGAACAUUUGUGAGUGUGUGAGAAAUUUAAAUCAUUAAAUCAGGACUACAGGUUAUCAUUGUGGUGAUAUAUUCCCAGAGUGUUGAGUGUUCUUUAUUAAGUUAUUUUAAAUAACAAUACUGGUAAAGAUCAUUAACAAAAAUUUUCACAUUGUCAAGAAUAUUUAUAUCAACAAUCUCAUUUUUGUCCUUGUGGUAGCUCUGACAUUUGGAUACUAGUUUUAAUAUAACUUGACAAAUUAUAAUUGUAUCUAUUUAAGUUAUAUAUAGUGAUAUGAAAAUAAAACAUGUAUGCCUUGUGGAAUUAUUAAAUCAGGCUAAUAUUGUGAGCAUGGGUGAUAAAUUCAAUCUACAAAUAACUUCUAUAUUUAUUUUGUAAUAUAAUCAUAUCAAAACUUGUAAAGUGUAUAGUUAUUUUGACCUUUA
rnacentral:lncRNA from 1 species